GUUAACGGCCAUACCACCCUGAGCGCGCCUGAUCUCAGAAUCUUAGCAGGGUCGGGCCUGGUUAGUACUUGGAUGGGAGAACGCUUGGGAAUGCCAGGUGCUGUAAGCU
ensembl:rRNA 5S_rRNA 5S ribosomal RNA